rnacentral:rRNA from 2 species
UGGGGAAUAUUGCACAAUGGGCGCAAGCCUGAUGCAGCGACGCCGCGUGGGGGAUGAAUGCCUUCGGGUUGUAAACCUCUUUCGACAGGGACGAAGUGAAAAUGACGGUACCUGUAUAAGAAGCACCGGCUAACUACGUGCCAGCAGCCGCGGUAAUACGUAGGGUGCGAGCGUUGUCCGGAAUUACUGGGCGUAAAGAGCUCGUAGGUGGUUUGUCACGUCGUCUGUGAAAUUCCGGGGCUUAACUCCGGGCGUGCAGGCGAUACGGGCAAUACUUGAGUGCUGUAGGGGAGACUGGAAUUCCUGGUGUAGCGGUGAAAUGCGCAGAUAUCAGGAGGAACACCAAUGGCGAAGGCAGGUCUCUGGGCAGUUACUGACGCUGAGGAGCGAAAGCAUGGGUAGCGAACAGG